rnacentral:rRNA from 1 species
GACGAACGCUGGCGGCGUGCUUAACACAUGCAAGUCGAACGGAAAGGCCCUGCUGGUGUGGGGUGCUCGAGUGGCGAACGGGUGAGUAACACGUGAGUAACCUGCCCUUGACUUUGGGAUAACUUCAGGAAACUGGGGCUAAUACCGGAUAGGAGCUCCUGCUGCAUUGUGGGGGUUGGAAAGUUUCGGCGGUUGGGGAUGGACUCGCGGCUUAUCAGCUUGUUGGUGGGGUAGUGGCUUACCAAGGCUUUGACGGGUAGCCGGCCUGAGAGGGUGACCGGCCACAUUGGGACUGAGAUACGGACCAGACUCCUACGGGAGGCAGCAGUGGGGAAUAUUGCACAAUGGGCGGAAGCCUGAUGCAGCAACGCCGCGUGCGGGAUGACUGCCUUCGGGUUGUAAACCGCUUUCGCCUGUGACGAAGCGUGAGUGACGGUAAUGAGUAAAGAAGCACCGGCUAACUACGUG